rnacentral:tRNA from 1 species
GGGGCGAUAGCUCAGUUGGUCAGAGCAGGGGACUCAUAAUCCCUUGGUCCCGGGUUCAAGCCCCGGUCGCCCUAC